rnacentral:rRNA from 1 species
GACGAACGCUGGCGGCGUGCUUAACACAUGCAAGUCGAACGGAAAGGCCCUGCUUUUGUGGGGUGCUCGAGUGGCGAACGGGUGAGUAACACGUGAGUAACCUGCCCUUGACUUUGUGAUAACUUCAGGAAACUGGGGCUAAUACCGGAUAGGAGCUCCUGCUGCAUGGUGGGGGUUGGAAAGUUUCGGCGGUUGGGGAUGGACUCGCGGCUUAUCAGCUUGCUGGUGGGGUAGUGGCUUACCAAGGCUUUGACGGGUAGCCGGCCUGAGAGGGUGACCGGCCACAUUGGGACUGAGAUACGGCCCAGACUCCUACGGGAGGCAGCAGUGGGGAAUAUUGCACAAUGGGCGGAAGCCUGAUGCAGCGACGCCGCGUGCGGGAAGACGGCCUUCGGGUUGUAAACCGCUUUCGCCUGUGACGAAGCGUGAGUGACGGUAAUGGGUAAAGAAGCACCGGCUAACUACGUG